rnacentral:rRNA from 1 species
GUGCCAGCAGCCGCGGUAAUACAGAGGUCGCAAGCGUUGUUCGGAUUUACUGGGCGUAAAGGGCGCGUAGGCGGUCCUGUGUGUCGGAUGUGAAAUCUCCGGGCUCAACCCGGAAAGUGCGUCCGAAACUGCAGGACUCGAGUCCGGAAGAGGGAAUCGGAAUGCAGGGUGUAGCGGUGAAAUGCGUUGAUAUCCUGCAGAACACCGGAGGCGAAGGCGGAUUCCUUGUACGGUACUGACGCUGAGGCGCGAAAGUCGGGGGAGCAAACAGGAUUAGAUACCCUGGUAGUCCCGACCUUAAACGGUGCACACUCGGGGUGGGGCCCUUUCAUCGGCCCCGUCUCUUAGCUAACGCGUUAAGUGUGCCGCCUGGGGAGUACGGCCGCAAGGCUAAAACUCAAAGAAAUUGACGGGGGCCCGCACAAGCAGAGGAGCAUGUGGCUUAAUUCGAUGCAACGCGAAGAACCUUACCUGGAUUUGACAUACGGGUGCACGGCCUGUGAAAGCAGGCUUCCUUCGAGGGUCCCGUACAGGUGCUGCAUGGCUGUCGUCAGUUCGUGCCGUGAGGUGUUUGGUUAGGUCCACCAACGAACGCAACCCCUUUGACGUGUUGCCAGCGGGUAAUGCCGGGAACUCGCGUCAUACUGCCUGUUUACGCAGGAGGAAGGUGGGGAUGACGUCAAGUCAGUAUGGCCCUUACAUCCAGGGCUGCACACGUGCUACAAUGGCAUAUACAGAGCGAGGCGAGACCGCAAGGUGGAGCGAAUCGCACAGAGUAUGCCUCAGUUCAGAUUGGGGUCUGCAACCCGACCCCAUGAAGUCGGAUUUGCUAGUAACGGCGUAUCAGCUACGACGCCGUGAAUGCGUUCCCGGGCCUUGUACACACCGCCCGU